rnacentral:piRNA from 1 species
UGCAGGAACGAUGCAUGGGCUCCC